AGUUAUUUCUUUAAACCUAAAGAAUUUGGCGGUGUUUUAUUCUAUUCAGAGGAAUUUGUCCCUUUAUCGAUAAUCCUCGUUAUAUCUAGCUUUAUUUAAUUAGUAUGUAUACCGCCGUUAUAAGUUUAUUUUGUUAGAAUUUAAAUUUGCUUUAUAUUUUAUUUUAUUUUAUUUCAGGUCAAGGUGCAGCUUAUAAUUAAGUGGAGAUGAAUUACAAUAUUAUAUUAAUAAAAUGGAAUUAAAUUUUAAAAUUUUUAAUGAAAGUGGAUUUGAUUGUAAUUUUAAUUAUAAUGUUAAUUUGAUUUAGCUCUAAAAUGAGUACACAUCGCCCGUCGCUCUA
rnacentral:rRNA from 1 species